CAAUAGCGUAUAUUUAAGUUGUUGCAGUUAAAAAGCUCGUAGUUGGAUUUCGGGUGGGACGCAGCGGUCUCGCAUUGCGUUUGUACUGCUGCAGCCCUCCUUCUUGCCGGGGGCGGCCUCUCGGACUUCACUGUCUGGGGGUCAGAAUCGGCGAUGUUACUUUGAGUAAAUUAGAGUGUUCAAAGCAAGCUUACGCUCUGAAUAUAAUAGCAUGGGAUAACACGACAGGACUCUGGCCUAUCGUGUUGGUCUAUAGGACCAGAGUAAUGAUUAAGAGGGACAGUCGGGGGCAUUCGUAAUCCGUUGUCAGAGGUGAAAUUCUUGGAUUUACGGAAGACGAACAUCUGCGAAAGCAUUUGCCAAGGAUGUUUUCAUUGA
rnacentral:rRNA from 1 species